rnacentral:rRNA from 1 species
UACGUAGGGUGCAGGCGUUAAUCGGAAUUACUGGGCGUAAAGCGUGCGCAGGCGGUUUGCUAAGACAGGUGUGAAAUCCCCGGGCUUAACCUGGGAACUGCGCUUGUAACUGGCAGGCUUGAGUGCGGCAGAGGGGGGGUGGAAUUCCACGUGUAGCAGGUGAAAUGCGCAGAUAUCAGGAGGAACACCGGUGGCGAAGGCGGCUCUCGUGGG